rnacentral:rRNA from 1 species
AUACGAGGGGUGCAAGCGUUAAUCGGAAUUACUGGGCGUAAAGCGUUCGUAGGCGGUUUGUUAAGCAAGAUGUGAAAGCCCUGGGCUCAACCUGGGAACUGCAUUUUGAACUGGCAAGCUAGAAUACUGUAGAGGGUGGUGGAAUUUCCAGUGUAGCGGUGAAAUGCGUAGAGAUUGGAAGGAACAUCAGUGGCGAAGGCGGCCACCUAGACAGAUAUUGACGCUGAGGAACGAAAGCGUGGGGAGCGAACAGGAUUAGAAACCCCGGUAGUCC